rnacentral:rRNA from 1 species
GACGAACGCUGGCGGCGUGCCUAAUACAUGCAAGUCGAGCGAACGGGCGGAUGGGUAAGUAACGCGUGGGUAACCUGCCCUUAGGGCUGGGAUACCAGUUGGAGACAGUAGCUAAUACCGGAUACGAAAGGAUGGACCUGCGAUGAAUUAGCUAGUGGGUAAGGUAACGGCUUACCAAGGCGAUGAUGCAUAGCCGAGUUGAGAGACUGAUCGGCCACAUUGGGACUGAGACACGGCCCAUACUCCUACGGGAGGCAGCAGUAGGGAAUCUUCCACAAUGGACGAAAGUCUGAUGGAGCAACGCCGCGUGAGUGAAGAAGGUUUUCGGAUCGUAAAGCUCUGUUGUUGGUGAAGCGGUAAUCAACCAGAAAGUCACGGCUAACUACGUGCCAGCAGCCGCGGUAAUAC